rnacentral:rRNA from 1 species
GUGGGGAAUUUUGGACAAUGGGCGCAAGCCUGAUCCAGCAAUGCCGCGUGCAGGAAGAAGGCCUUCGGGUUGUAAACUGCUUUUAUCUGGGAAGAAAAAGGCCAUGCGUGGCAAAUUGCCGGUACCAGAUGAAUAAGCACCGGCUAACUCCGUGCCAGCAGCCGCGGUAAUACGGAGGGUGCAAGCGUUGUCCGGAUUUAUUGGGUUUAAAGGGUGCGUAGGCGGCUGAUUAAGUCAGCGGUGAAAGACUCCGGCUUAACCGGAGCAGUGCCGUUGAUACUGGUUAGCUUGAGUGUUGGAGGGGUACAUGGAAUUGAUGGUGUAGCGGUGAAAUGCAUAGAUACCAUCAGGAACACCGAUAGCGAAGGCAUUGUACUGGCCAACAACUGACGCUGAUGCACGAAAGUGUGGGGAUCGAACAGGAUUAGAAACCCGUGUAGUCC